rnacentral:rRNA from 1 species
GACGAACGCUGGCGGCGUGCUUAACACAUGCAAGUCGAACGAAGUGGCGAACGGGUGAGUAACGCGUAAUCAACCUGCCCUUCAGAGGGGGACAACAGUUGGAAACGACUGCUCAUACCGCAUACUGAAGGAGGGGAUUGCGUCUGAUUAGGUAGUUGGAGGGGUAACGGCCCAACAAGGCGAUGAUCAGUAGCCGGGCUGAGAGGGUGAACGGGCACAUUGGGACUGAGACACUGGCCAGACUCCUACGGGAGGCAGCAGUGGGGAAACUUCCGCAAUUGACGAAAGGCUGACGGAGCAACGCCGCGGGAGUGAUGACGGCCUUUGGGUUGGAAAGCUCUGUUAAUCGGGACGCGGUACCGGAAUAGAAAGCCACGGCUAACUACGUGCCAGCCGCCGCGGUAAUAC